rnacentral:lncRNA from 1 species
UCAAGGUCUGCUGCGGUUUGGUUAAGGUAGAUCAGUGUUGACUAUUGGCAAUAAAGCAGUCGUUUCCAAAUGCGUGCCAUGCACUUCUCAAGAAUCGUCAAGAAUUGGAAAAAGCGUUCACAAGUCUUCACAAGUGUCUGCUGAAACUUGCGAACACGAAAACAGAGUAAGAGAUUAUAAGCUGCAAAAAUGCCCCAGCUUCCAGAUGAAUGAGGCGAUUUGAGUCAUUCAUUUUUGGUAGAAUACUUGUUAGUUUGUUUAAGCUACGGCUAUAUACAAACACUGUUACUUUUGAUUUAGGCAUCUUCUUCUUUCAGUUAUACUUCAGUUAAUACAAAUGACUGCAAGGAAACAUCCCGGCCAACUGAGGUAUGCGCAGUAAAAUGAAGCAAACAACAUAUUAAUCAACAGUCCGUGGUUCUGUUUCGAACGUCACUGAUAAACAACACAUUGCAAUCAAUAUUUACUUACCACUGAUGUACAUUCCUUUGGAAAAACAAGAAGUCUAUGUAAUAAUGGACAAGUCAAAUACAAAAGUAUACAGAAUAGAGAAGAGUAUCGCGAAAUCUGUUUUUCUGAGAAAGCAAUCCAAUACCAUGACGAAAGCUCCAAAACAUCUGAAAAUUGGGGUCAAAAAGUCAUUCUCGUGACUUCGUCGUUGUUUGCUCGAUAAAGAAAAGGAAAUCGAAAGUAGAUGUACCUUCACACUCGAUCAAGCUAAACCUUGCCGUUACAGGGCGUCACGUUGGGAAUGUUCCUUCCUUCUCAGGGGCAAUUUAUCGUCCUCAACGGGACGGCAACUAAGGUCACUAAGGCUAUAUGACUAAAGCUAAAAAUGUUGUCUUUUUGAAGGUCGAAAGAAUAUAAAUUACAGAUCAUUACAUGCUUUUUGGAAAGUUGCUCUGUAAACAACAAACGAUAAAACACUCUUAGCUCCUCUUCAGGGCAGUUUCUUACUGGAACGUUAAACUAAACGAGAUGAGAAAACGCGAGAGAGAAAAGAAAGGGGGUCAAUUUAAUUUGACUAAGAAUUCGUUUGGUUGAUUCUUUAAGAAGAGAUAAAUAUCAGAAUGAAUAUCCUGUGAACUAAACUGAAGGCAGUCCCGAACGCUGGUCGAAGCAUGUUUCUCAAAGAUUCAGUUAAUAUUCAAAUGCGACCGAAAGAGGCAAUUGAGUCUAGAUAAACCCGACCAACUAUUUCUCUACAAGUUUCUCCUGAUGUCAUGGCGUCAACUUAAGUUGUAUAUCCGAUAAAAUGGCGACUGAAAUACCGCGUCAAGGUCUGCUGCGGUUUGGUUGAAGUAGAUCAGUGUUGACUAUUGGCAAUAAAGCAGUCGUUCCUAAUAGCGGUACUUCUCAAGAAUCGUCAAUAAGUGGAAAAGGCGUUCACAAGUCUUCACAAGUGUCUUUUGAAACUUGCGAACACGAAAACAGAGUAACAGAUUAUUAGCUGCAAAAAUGUCCCAGCUUGCAGAUAAAUGAGGCGAUUUGAGUCGUAUUCAUUUUUCGUGGAAUACUAGUUAGUUUGUUUAAGCUAUGUACAAACACUGUUACUUCUGAUUCAGGCGUCUUCUUCUUUCAGUUAUACUUCAGUUAAUACAAAUGACUGCAAGAAAACGUCCUGGCCAACUGACGUAUGCGCAGUAAAGCGAACAACAUAUAUUGAUUAACAGUCUGUGGUUCUGUUUCGAACGUCACUGAUAAACAACACAUUGCAAUCAAUAUUUACUUACCACUGAUGUACAUUCUUUUUGAAAAACAAGAAGUCUAUGUAAUAAUGGACAAGUCAAAUACAAAAGUAUACGGAAUAGAGAAGAGUAUCGCGAAAUCUGUUUUUCAGGGAAAGCAAUCCAAUACCAUGACGAAAGCCCCAAAACAUCUGCAAAUUGGGGUCAAGAAGUCAUUCUCGUGACUUCAUCUUUGUUUGCUGGAUAAAGAAAAGGAAAUCGAAAGCAGAUUUACCUUCACACUUGAUCAAGCUAAACCUUGCCGUUAUAGGGAGUCACAUUGGGAAUGUUCCUUCCUUCUCAGGGGCAAUUUAUCGUCCUCAACAAGAUAGCAACUAAGGUCACUAAGGCAGUAUAUGACUCAGUAGAGCUAAAGAUGUCGUCUUUCUGAAGGAAAGAAUAAUUUCAGAUCAUUACAUGCUUUUUGCAAAGUUGCUCUAUAAACAACAAACGAUAAAACACUCUCGGUUCCUCUUCAGGGCAGUUUCUUACUGGAACGUUAAACUAAACGAGGUGAGAAACAACACGACAGAGAGAAAAAAGUGGGUCGAUUUAAUUUGACUAAUUUGCUUGUUUGAUUCUUUAAGAAGAGAUAAAUAUCAGAAUGAAUAUCCUGUGAACUAAACUGAAGGCAGUCCCGAACGCUGGUCCAAGCAUGUUUCUAAAAGAUUCAGUUAAUAUUCAAAUGCGACCGAAAGAGGUAAUUGAGUUUAGAUAAACCCGACCAACUAUUUCUCUACAAGUUUCUCCUGAUGUCAUGGCGUCAACUUAAGUUGUAUAUCCGAUAAAAUGGCGACUGAAAUACCGCGUCAAGGUCUGCUGCGGUUUGGUUGAAGUAGAUCAGUGUUGACUAUUGGCAAUAAAGCAGUCGUUCCUAAUAGCGGUACUUCUCAAGAAUCGUCAAUAAGUGGAAAAGGCGUUCACAAGUCUUCACAAGUGUCUUUUGAAACUUGCGAACACGAAAACAGAGUAACAGAUUAUUAGCUGCAAAAAUGUCCCAGCUUGCAGAUAAAUGAGGCGAUUUGAGUCGUAUUCAUUUUUCGUGGAAUACUAGUUAGUUUGUUUAAGCUAUGUACAAACACUGUUACUUCUGAUUCAGGCGUCUUCUUCUUUCAGUUAUACUUCAGUUAAUACAAAUGACUGCAAGAAAACGUCCUGGCCAACUGACGUAUGCGCAGUAAAGCGAACAACAUAUAUUGAUUAACAGUCUGUGGUUCUGUUUCGAACGUCACUGAUAAACAACACAUUGCAAUCAAUAUUUACUUACCACUGAUGUACAUUCUUUUUGAAAAACAAGAAGUCUAUGUAAUAAUGGACAAGUCAAAUACAAAAGUAUACGGAAUAGAGAAGAGUAUCGCGAAAUCUGUUUUUCAGGGAAAGCAAUCCAAUACCAUGACGAAAGCCCCAAAACAUCUGCAAAUUGGGGUCAAGAAGUCAUUCUCGUGACUUCAUCUUUGUUUGCUGGAUAAAGAAAAGGAAAUCGAAAGCAGAUUUACCUUCACACUUGAUCAAGCUAAACCUUGCCGUUAUAGGGAGUCACAUUGGGAAUGUUCCUUCCUUCUCAGGGGCAAUUUAUCGUCCUCAACAAGAUAGCAACUAAGGUCACUAAGGCAGUAUAUGACUCAGUAGAGCUAAAGAUGUCGUCUUUCUGAAGGAAAGAAUAAUUUCAGAUCAUUACAUGCUUUUUGCAAAGUUGCUCUAUAAACAACAAACGAUAAAACACUCUCGGUUCCUCUUCAGGGCAGUUUCUUACUGGAACGUUAAACUAAACGAGGUGAGAAACAACACGACAGAGAGAAAAAAGUGGGUCGAUUUAAUUUGACUAAUUUGCUUGUUUGAUUCUUUAAGAAGAGAUAAAUAUCAGAAUGAAUAUCCUGUGAACUAAACUGAAGGCAGUCCCGAACGCUGGUCCAAGCAUGUUUCUAAAAGAUUCAGUUAAUAUUCAAAUGCGACCGAAAGAGGUAAUUGAGUUUAGAUAAACCCGACCAACUAUUUCUCUACAAGUUUCUCCUGAUGUCAUGGCGUCAACUUAAGUUGUAUAUCCGAUAAAAUGGCGACUGAAAUACCGCGUCAAGGUCUGCUGCGGUUUGGUUGAAGUAGAUCAGUGUUGACUAUUGGCAAUAAAGCAGUCGUUCCUAAUAGCGGUACUUCUCAAGAAUCGUCAAUAAGUGGAAAAGGCGUUCACAAGUCUUCACAAGUGUCUUUUGAAACUUGCGAACACGAAAACAGAGUAACAGAUUAUUAGCUGCAAAAAUGUCCCAGCUUGCAGAUAAAUGAGGCGAUUUGAGUCGUAUUCAUUUUUCGUGGAAUACUAGUUAGUUUGUUUAAGCUAUGUACAAACACUGUUACUUCUGAUUCAGGCGUCUUCUUCUUUCAGUUAUACUUCAGUUAAUACAAAUGACUGCAAGAAAACGUCCUGGCCAACUGACGUAUGCGCAGUAAAGCGAACAACAUAUAUUGAUUAACAGUCUGUGGUUCUGUUUCGAACGUCACUGAUAAACAACACAUUGCAAUCAAUAUUUACUUACCACUGAUGUACAUUCUUUUUGAAAAACAAGAAGUCUAUGUAAUAAUGGACAAGUCAAAUACAAAAGUAUACGGAAUAGAGAAGAGUAUCGCGAAAUCUGUUUUUCAGGGAAAGCAAUCCAAUACCAUGACGAAAGCCCCAAAACAUCUGCAAAUUGGGGUCAAGAAGUCAUUCUCGUGACUUCAUCUUUGUUUGCUGGAUAAAGAAAAGGAAAUCGAAAGCAGAUUUACCUUCACACUUGAUCAAGCUAAACCUUGCCGUUAUAGGGAGUCACAUUGGGAAUGUUCCUUCCUUCUCAGGGGCAAUUUAUCGUCCUCAACAAGAUAGCAACUAAGGUCACUAAGGCAGUAUAUGACUCAGUAGAGCUAAAGAUGUCGUCUUUCUGAAGGAAAGAAUAAUUUCAGAUCAUUACAUGCUUUUUGCAAAGUUGCUCUAUAAACAACAAACGAUAAAACACUCUCGGUUCCUCUUCAGGGCAGUUUCUUACUGGAACGUUAAACUAAACGAGGUGAGAAACAACACGACAGAGAGAAAAAAGUGGGUCGAUUUAAUUUGACUAAUUUGCUUGUUUGAUUCUUUAAGAAGAGAUAAAUAUCAGAAUGAAUAUCCUGUGAACUAAACUGAAGGCAGUCCCGAACGCUGGUCCAAGCAUGUUUCUAAAAGAUUCAGUUAAUAUUCAAAUGCGACCGAAAGAGGUAAUUGAGUUUAGAUAAACCCGACCAACUAUUUCUCUACAAGUUUCUCCUGAUGUCAUGGCGUCAACUUAAGUUGUAUAUCCGAUAAAAUGGCGACUGAAAUACCGCGUCAAGGUCUGCUGCGGUUUGGUUGAAGUAGAUCAGUGUUGACUAUUGGCAAUAAAGCAGUCGUUCCUAAUAGCGGUACUUCUCAAGAAUCGUCAAUAAGUGGAAAAGGCGUUCACAAGUCUUCACAAGUGUCUUUUGAAACUUGCGAACACGAAAACAGAGUAACAGAUUAUUAGCUGCAAAAAUGUCCCAGCUUGCAGAUAAAUGAGGCGAUUUGAGUCGUAUUCAUUUUUCGUGGAAUACUAGUUAGUUUGUUUAAGCUAUGUACAAACACUGUUACUUCUGAUUCAGGCGUCUUCUUCUUUCAGUUAUACUUCAGUUAAUACAAAUGACUGCAAGAAAACGUCCUGGCCAACUGACGUAUGCGCAGUAAAGCGAACAACAUAUAUUGAUUAACAGUCUGUGGUUCUGUUUCGAACGUCACUGAUAAACAACACAUUGCAAUCAAUAUUUACUUACCACUGAUGUACAUUCUUUUUGAAAAACAAGAAGUCUAUGUAAUAAUGGACAAGUCAAAUACAAAAGUAUACGGAAUAGAGAAGAGUAUCGCGAAAUCUGUUUUUCAGGGAAAGCAAUCCAAUACCAUGACGAAAGCCCCAAAACAUCUGCAAAUUGGGGUCAAGAAGUCAUUCUCGUGACUUCAUCUUUGUUUGCUGGAUAAAGAAAAGGAAAUCGAAAGCAGAUUUACCUUCACACUUGAUCAAGCUAAACCUUGCCGUUAUAGGGAGUCACAUUGGGAAUGUUCCUUCCUUCUCAGGGGCAAUUUAUCGUCCUCAACAAGAUAGCAACUAAGGUCACUAAGGCAGUAUAUGACUCAGUAGAGCUAAAGAUGUCGUCUUUCUGAAGGAAAGAAUAAUUUCAGAUCAUUACAUGCUUUUUGCAAAGUUGCUCUAUAAACAACAAACGAUAAAACACUCUCGGUUCCUCUUCAGGGCAGUUUCUUACUGGAACGUUAAACUAAACGAGGUGAGAAACAACACGACAGAGAGAAAAAAGUGGGUCGAUUUAAUUUGACUAAUUUGCUUGUUUGAUUCUUUAAGAAGAGAUAAAUAUCAGAAUGAAUAUCCUGUGAACUAAACUGAAGGCAGUCCCGAACGCUGGUCCAAGCAUGUUUCUAAAAGAUUCAGUUAAUAUUCAAAUGCGACCGAAAGAGGUAAUUGAGUUUAGAUAAACCCGACCAACUAUUUCUCUACAAGUUUCUCCUGAUGUCAUGGCGUCAACUUAAGUUGUAUAUCCGAUAAAAUGGCGACUGAAAUACCGCGUCAAGGUCUGCUGCGGUUUGGUUGAAGUAGAUCAGUGUUGACUAUUGGCAAUAAAGCAGUCGUUCCUAAUAGCGGUACUUCUCAAGAAUCGUCAAUAAGUGGAAAAGGCGUUCACAAGUCUUCACAAGUGUCUUUUGAAACUUGCGAACACGAAAACAGAGUAACAGAUUAUUAGCUGCAAAAAUGUCCCAGCUUGCAGAUAAAUGAGGCGAUUUGAGUCGUAUUCAUUUUUCGUGGAAUACUAGUUAGUUUGUUUAAGCUAUGUACAAACACUGUUACUUCUGAUUCAGGCGUCUUCUUCUUUCAGUUAUACUUCAGUUAAUACAAAUGACUGCAAGAAAACGUCCUGGCCAACUGACGUAUGCGCAGUAAAGCGAACAACAUAUAUUGAUUAACAGUCUGUGGUUCUGUUUCGAACGUCACUGAUAAACAACACAUUGCAAUCAAUAUUUACUUACCACUGAUGUACAUUCUUUUUGAAAAACAAGAAGUCUAUGUAAUAAUGGACAAGUCAAAUACAAAAGUAUACGGAAUAGAGAAGAGUAUCGCGAAAUCUGUUUUUCAGGGAAAGCAAUCCAAUACCAUGACGAAAGCCCCAAAACAUCUGCAAAUUGGGGUCAAGAAGUCAUUCUCGUGACUUCAUCUUUGUUUGCUGGAUAAAGAAAAGGAAAUCGAAAGCAGAUUUACCUUCACACUUGAUCAAGCUAAACCUUGCCGUUAUAGGGAGUCACAUUGGGAAUGUUCCUUCCUUCUCAGGGGCAAUUUAUCGUCCUCAACAAGAUAGCAACUAAGGUCACUAAGGCAGUAUAUGACUCAGUAGAGCUAAAGAUGUCGUCUUUCUG